GACAGAGGGUGCAAACGUUGUUCGGAAUUACUGGGCGUAAAGCGCGUGUAGGCGGCAGGGCAAGUCGGAUGUGAAAUCCCGUGGCUCAACCACGGAAGUGCACCCGAAACUGCCCAGCUAGAGUCUCGGAGAGGAAGGUGGAGUGCUUGGUGUAGAGGUGAAAUUCGUAGAUAUCAAGCGGAACACCGGUGGCGAAGGCGGCCUUCUGGACGAUGACUGACGCUGAGACGCGAAAGCGUGGGGAGCAAACAGG
rnacentral:rRNA from 1 species